UGGAAAACUACGAUAGUGUCACUUUAAGCCAUAAACAGAUAACUGUUUGACAAACAUAAUCAUUUAUGUGAAAUUUUAUGUUUGCUUCAUGUUCUGCUUCAGGCACAGAAUUUCAGGCAAAUCCAACAAGGGGGCGAAAAUGACAGAAAAAGCUGCAAAUUGCUACAAAAAUUGAUUUUUCAGAGGUAUGUGACAUAAGGCCUGAUUUUCAGAAACAUGCAUAAAGUGGGACACAUGAUUAAAGAACUUGCUGAAUCAGAGAUUUUGUGUACAAAAGACCAGUUAUGCAGCUAACGGGCUGUGCAAAUAGACUGUGUGAUUUCCUCACGCGGUUGUAACUGCAUACAGAAGAGCAACACGUUCAUUGCUGCUACAACUUACAUGAACACUACCCGGGAAAAUACGACACUUAGUAUGGCAGCAGCUCCAAAGAUUUUCCACUGUGAAUUGAAUUUUAGCUUCUACCUUGUCUCCGCAGAUGGUCGCAGCGAGCAGCAUCCUGCAGGGAGCAUUAUAAUGGUCAAGUCCUGAGCUGACAAAGGCUGAACAUCUACCCCGUAACGCUGAAAUAAAGAGCUGAAGCCUACCAAGGGCUCUUUAGUCUUCACCGCUUUUUACGAACUCCUUCGAAGCAGUCCCCUGAUGUCCAGAAAAGCCCUGGGCUCGACCGUGUUUUGAAAAAAUCUGAAGAUGUCUCCAUCUCGAUAAACAUUCAGGCCCAAGACAUUUGAAGAAACAAUGUCCUCUUUCUUAUUCCCACCGUGGUGAGCGUAUGUCCGGCUGUGCAGGGGUCUGAGCAUCCCAUGGCCCAGAUUCCUUUCCUGACUUGCAAUUGUUUUGCUGCGUGACCUAUCUUCGUCAUCGCUCCCCAUAGCCCUGACUGCUGUCACCCUCCAGUCCUGGGAAAGGCACUUAACCUCUCUGAGGUUCAGUCAUGACCUCUGCAAAAGAAAUUGCUUCAGAGCCUGACACGACAAGCGCGCUGGAAGCUGGAAACAAGCUGCUUUUGCUCGUUAG